AGCGAAAUAGUGUAAUUGGUAAAAUACUAGACUCAUGAUCUAUUGAUACAGGUUCGAUUCCUGUUUUCGCUU